AGCCCCUCCUAUGGCAUCUCCUUCAGGAUCUGUGGGUCCCUGAGUUGUGGAAAGCCGCCCAGCCUUCUGAGCUGGGGGCCCGCAGGGUUAGCUCUGGUUGCUCUGGGCACUUGUGGGAGAGCAGGGUCAGAGCGGAGGGCAGCAGUUGGGGGCUGAAUGAUGGUGCCCACUCCUGCACACCCCGCGGUGGGCGAGGCCGCCCCUGCCUCCCUCUCCAAGGAGCCGACCACGAAGUCCGAGAAGCAGAGAGGGGAGAUGGGGAGGGAAUGGCAGUGGGGCUGCAGGGCACGCUCGGGUCAGCACUAACCGCUGGUGUAAAGGGACGAGUGGCCACUUCUGGCGGAACAACAGGCGGCGGUGGAAGGCAGCGCUCAGGCCGUCAGCGGGCCUGCGGGGGACGCACUCACCGAGGACCAGCAGCACUUUCCAGCUAGGCGCCCGAUGCGCACGGCAGAGCUCAGGGUCCGGCAGCGCCUCAAAGGCCUGCACCCGGGGCUCUGGCCCCGCCCGAGUACACGUGCGCGUCAGGCCCCGCCCCCAGGCGCCCUGGCCCCGCCCCUCGCUCAACCACCGCGCUUCCCGUGGACCCUGAUGCGGUGAUCUCAGGAGACCCCCAGCUGCUGCGGUUCCUGGCUGAGUGAGGCCAGGCCCUCAGGCUCCAGCAUGGCCCUGCAAGACCACUGCUGCACCCCUGCGGCUGUGCAGAGGAGGCUGCCCAUCCUGGCCUGGCGGUUGGACUCUGAAGAUGGACUUCAUCACUGGACUUUCAGUGGGGCUCAAGGUCAUUCCCCACGCACUGGCCUGUGCUGAGGUGACCUGACUCCUGCCCCAGUGUGGCUUCUACUCUGCCUUCAUGGGUGCUUCGUGUAGUUCUUCCUGGUCACCUUCUGGCAUGUUACCCUGAGCCCGCCUGUGCUGUGCUACUGGCUUUCCUGUGGGGCUGCAUGCAGUUAGCCAUGGGGUCCCUGUGCUUGGGGUUCCUGCUGUACUUCGUCUCCUGUGCCAUCAUUAAAGGUUUCACCUCUGCUGCUACCAUCACCGUGGACUUCGGGCAGAUCCAGGCUGGCCUGUGCAGUCUUCCCUGAUGGAGGGCAGUGAGCAGAUCAAGGCCAGGAGGAGGCGUGUGUGAGAAUCCAGCAGCUGACAUGUCUUCCCUCUCACUCUGUUCUGGGGCUGGAUCCACACUUUCCCUGUGCUUCCUUCUCGCCACACCCCUGGGAGGGAGGUUUAUCAUCAUCUGCAUUUAGAGAGGAGGAAACCCCUUAGAAAGUUUGAUCCUGAAGGCAUCUGUCACUUCUGGAAUCCACUACAACGACGAGGAGGAGAGUCACUUCAAUGCCUAUGAAAUGGAACCUUCAGGAGUUUUUAGUUAUAAAUCUUGGAAUCUGGAAGAUUCAAUUCAUGAUUGCAAAAUAUUUAUUUCCUAAUAUUUUGUUUUGUCAUAAACUGAUGCUUUUGAAAGAGAUCUCAUUA
rnacentral:lncRNA from 1 species